rnacentral:lncRNA from 1 species
GGUCACUAAAUGACAUGAAGUCUGUGUAAGUAAAAUGGUGUGCAUGAAGUGAAUCCUUGUUACAUCAAUGAUAUCUGCAGAUAUCUGUAGGGCUCCAAAUCGCCUGUGGCCUUUUCAUGAAACAAUGCCGAAGGAACGGAGCCAUUGCAUUUCUGCUGCUGUGUUGUGUUUUGCUCAAUAGGCUUGCGUGUUGUACACAAUGUACAGAUCUUUUCAUGGACAUGUUUAUUCUAGGACUAGGACUCUCAUCGAUUGAUGGGCAUCUCAAAUAGCAGAGGUGUCCUGGGCUCCCGUGGCGGACCCAUCACAGCGGCGUUGCAGCUAUCGGGUGUGACAUUCUCGAAGCUUCAGAAGAAUCCCACUACGGUAAACCCGGUAACAAUCUGUGACAGAUUGUUACAAGAAACCACCCGCCAUUGCAUGACCGUCAGGUUGAAAUGAUUCUGCCAUGCGGCUCUCCUCCAGUACUUUGGACAGCACCGCUCGAGCUUGCCUGCAGAAUAAGACUCCACUUGAUGACUGGCCUUCACUAUCUGCACUUACCAGCAAGCAAAGAUUCUUGCGAUCGAGGUGACAAAUUUAAGCACCUAAGGCGUUGCUGUCGACGCUGGAGGGAUAAUUGUGUGCCCGAACUUGGAUCCUUCUUGUCGAAUAUAGACCCUUGGAGCGUAACAACCUCUCGCCUCAAAUCCUGGGCGACACUCAAAAAUUGACUUGAGCAACACGAUAUACAAAUCUCCAGGAGGGUGCUAAAGAAUGGGGCAAGCUAUCAAAUCAACAAUGCACAGAAGUGGUAUGUCGGGGUCAUCUGAGCAUGCAGUACCUCCACAGGGAGUUCAUGAAGUCCCGCGUGCCAAAUUGCAUCCUCAUCAUCCACAUCUGGGCUUGCUGCACGUUUCCUCUUCCUUUUCACAUUAUCAUCGUCCCAAGCUUCCCACCAGUGAACGUCCUCAUCAUGAUCCCCACUCCCACUAGUACCUGGCGAGCACGAGCCCGUCAACAUGCGAGAUACUCACUUAUGAAAACUCUUUGAUUUGCAUGGAAAUAUCAGAUACCAUCACAACAUCAGACAAGGUAUUUCUCUGAGCCUGAUGGCAGGCUGAGUAGAGACUAUACCUCUCGAUGAAGACAACUCCGCUGCUGCUAAGCAGAUCGCCUUGAAAGCGGCCUCAGCGCCUGGUAGAGAACAUUUGUCAGGGUGGACCUGCUUAGCCAGCCUGCGGAAUUGCUGCUGAACAUGCUUUUUGUCUGUAUGUCCAUCCAC